ACGGGGUGCAGCAGGCGCGAAACCUUUACACUGUACGCAAGUGCGACAGGGGGACUCCGAGUGUGUGGGCAUAGAGCUCACACUUUUGUGAACCGUAAGGUGGUUCACGAAUAAGAGCUGGGCAAGACCGGUGCCAGCCGCCGCGGUAAUACCGGCAGCUCGAGUGAUGACCGAUUUUAUUGGGCCUAAAGCGUCCGUAGCUGGCCAGGCAAGUCCGUUGGGAAAUCCACCUGCUCAACAGGUGGGCGUCCAGCGGAAACUGCUUGGCUUGGGACCGGAAGAUCCAAGGGGUACGUCCGGGGUAGGAGUGAAAUCCUGUAAUCCUGGACGGACCGCCGAUGGCGAAAGCACCUUGGAAGGACGGAUCCGACAGUGAGGGACGAAAGCUAGGGUCUCGAACCGGAUUAGAUACCCGGGUAGUCCUAGCUGUAAACGAUGUCCGCUAGGUGUGGCACAGGCUACGAGCCUGUGCUGUGCCGUAGGGAAGCCGAGAAGCGGACCGCCUGGGAAGUACGUCUGCAAGGAUGAAACUUAAAGGAAUUGGCGGGGGAGCAC
rnacentral:rRNA from 1 species